AUUGAACGCUGGCGGCAGGCUUAACACCUGCAAGUCGAGCGAGCGGCGGACGGGUGAGUAAUGUCUGGGAAACUGCCUGAUGGAGGGGGAUAACUACUGGCAACGGUAGCUAUUACCGCAUACCAUCAGAUGUGCCCAGAUGGGAUUAGCUAGUAGGUGGGUUAAUGGCUCACCUAGGCGCCGAUCCCUAGCUGGUCUGAGAGGAUGACCAGCCACACUGGAAGAGAGACACGGUCCAGAAUCCUAAGGGAGGUAGCAGUGGGGAAUAUGGCACAAUGGGCGCAAGCCUGAUGCAGCCAUGCCGCGUGUGUGAAGAAGGCCUUAGGGUUGUAAAGCACUUUCAGCGAGGAGGCGUUACUCGCAGAAGAAGCUCCGGCUAACGCCGUGCCAGCAGCCGCGGUAAUAC
rnacentral:rRNA from 1 species